UACGUAGGGGGCAAGCGUUGUCCGGAAUUAUUGGGCGUAAAGCGCGUGUAGGCGGUCCGGUAAGUCGGCUGUGAAAGUCCAGGGCUCAACCCUGGGGAUGCCGGUCGAUACUGCCGGACUAGAGUUCGGAAGAGGCGAGUGGAAUUCCCGGUGUAGCGGUGAAAUGCGCAGAUAUCGGGAGGAACACCAAUGGCGAAGGCAGCUCGCUGGGACGUUACUGACGCUGAGACGCG
rnacentral:rRNA from 1 species